GAGUUUGAUCGUGGCUCAGGAUGAACGCUGGCGGCGUGCCUAAUACAUGCAAGUCGAGCGAACAGACGGGGAGCUUGCUCCCCUGACGUUAGCGGCGGACGGGUGAGUAACACGUGGGUAACCUACCUAUAAGACUGGAAGUAACUCCGGGAAACCGGGGCUAAUGCCGGAUAACAUGUUGGACCGCAUGGUCCUACAGUGAAAGACGGUCUUGCUGUCACUUAUAGGUGGACCCGCGCCGUAUUAGCUAGUUGGUAGGUAACGGCUUACAAGGCACGAUACGUAGCCGACCUGAGAGGGUGAUCGGCCACACUGGAACUGAGACACGGGUCCAGACUCCUACGGGAGGCAGCAGUAGGGAAUCUUCCGCAAUGGGCGAAAGCCUGGACGGAGCAACGCCGCGUGAGUGAUGAAGG
rnacentral:rRNA from 1 species